CAGGCUUAACACAUGCAAGUCGAGCGGUAGCACAAGGGAGCUUGCUCCCUGGGUGACGAGCGGCGGACGGGUGAGUAAUGUCUGGGAAACUGCCUGAUGGAGGGGGAUAACUACUGGAAACGGUAGCUAAUACCGCAUAACGUCGCAAGACCAAAGAGGGGGACCUUCGGGCCUCUUGCCAUCAGAUGUGCCCAGAUGGGAUUAGCUAGUAGGUGGGGUAAUGGCUCACCUAGGCGACGAUCCCUAGCUGGUCUGAGAGGAUGACCAGCCACACUGGAACUGAGACACGGUCCAGACUCCUACGGGAGGCAGCAGUGGGGAAUAUUGCACAAUGGGCGCAAGCCUGAUGCAGCCAUGCCGCGUGUGUGAAGAAGGCCUUCGGGUUGUAAAGCACUUUCAGCGAGGAGGAAGGUGGUGAGCUUAAUACGCUCAUCAAUUGACGUUACUCGCAGAAGAAGCACCGGCUAACUCCGUGCCAGCAGCCGCGGUAAUACGGAGGGUGCAAGCGUUAAUCGGAAUUACUGGGCGUAAAGCGCACGCAGGCGGUUUGUUAAGUCAGAUGUGAAAUCC
rnacentral:rRNA from 1 species